rnacentral:tRNA from 1 species
GCCUGGGUGGCUUAGUCGGUUAAGCAUCCGACUUCAGCUCAGUUCAUGAUCUCCUAGUUCGUGAGUUCAAGCCCUGCACCAGGCU